rnacentral:rRNA from 1 species
GACAGAGGUCUCGAGCGUUAGGCGGAAUCACUGGGCUUAAAGCGUGUGUAGGCGGACUUGUAAGUACCUUGUGAAAUCCCACGGCUCAACCGUGGAACUGCUUGGUAUACUGCUUGUCUUGGGCCAGCUAGGGGUUACCGGAACAAACGGUGGAGCGGUGAAAUGCGUAGAUAUCGUUUGGAACGCCAAUGGUGAAAAACGAGGUGAA